rnacentral:rRNA from 1 species
UACAGGGGGUGCAAACGUUGCUCGGAAUCAUUGGGCGUAAAGCGCACGUAGGCGGUUCGUUAUGUCGGAUGUGAAAGCCCUUGGCUUAACCGAGGAAGUGCAUCCGAAACUGGCGAGCUAGAGUACGAAAGAGGAUCGCGGAAUUCCCGGUGUAGAGGUGAAAUUCGUAGAUAUCGGGAGGAACACCGGUGGCGAAGGCGGCGAUCUGGGUGCGAUACUGACGCUGAGGUGCGAAAGCGUGGGGAGCAAACAGG